AGUGUCACGUUAUUUAUUAGCUACGGCUGCACGCGAUGUGUGGAACGGAAGCAUUUUGAUAUUGGCCGGUGUGUGAUUGAAGCAGACGAUAAUAUUAUUUUGAAGGCAGAUGAGUUGCUAAGUUCAUGAGUGUAGACGUCAACUUGUAGAUGAUAAUCUAGGUAUUGUGGAGUUAUAUGUGUGCAAAUUGGAAUAUUUUCGAACUUAUAUUGGCUCUACGCAGGAUCCAAUCUGUCUUAGAUAAAAGCAAGUCUAAGGUAUGAAGAAAUCUGAAUGCUAAAGUAACCAGAUAUUGACUUAUCGUCUGCUUGAAAACAUCAUCAUUCUAGACAGCUGUUUAUUGUUGUAAGUUUUUGGAGAACCGCACCCUACAUAACGAACAAAGAGAACACCAGAAGACAACCAAGCAGACAAGACAUGUCAGACACACAACACACGGACAUCGAAAAUAAUACCUGUUGACACAGUCGUAUCGAAUUUGUGAAAAGACAUAAACAACCUACUGAUUAAACAUUUAAAAACACAAGGGAGGAUAUUGACGAUAUUUUCCUGGCAAAAAGACAAUCCAGAUUGAUCAUCGUUCAAAUUAAAGACUGAUCGUGUGAUUUGGUUAAAAACUAGUUUGGGGAUGUGCAGUACUUAUUUCCUUCCGGAUCUUUUAUACCAGAAGUAUCGGUCUUAAAAAUAUUAAUGUGUUUGGCGUCACUGUUUACAAGUAGUCGUCACAGUGUUUAAAAAUCAAUUACACAUUUCCUAUAGGUAAAAAGAGUUAGCCGUUUAUAAAUGGGUUUAUUUAUUGGACUUGUCUUCUAUUAAAGCUACGACCAGUUUGACACUGUUCGAUAUCAGAAUCUUUAAAAAGGAAUAGAUUGACAGAGCGUUGUGAAUAAGAAGCUGUGUAACUCAUCAAUCUUUUAAACAACGACUAUCGCGUACUCUCUUUAUGUAGUUUCCUGUUCCUAUACGGUAUGCGCUAACUAGAUAUCACUGUGCUUUAUAACGAUAAGAGGACACUUGUCAAAACGUCCUGCUUAUAGAAUAAAACCAGUGAUUGUUUCGCAUAAAAAUUGUGUAUUCUGUUAGACGAAUGUCACUGUAUACAAAAUUUAAACGGGAUUAGAUUGAAAAGUUCAGAAAUUGGUGUUGAUUUUCCUAUGUGGUGAAGUGCGCGUUUAUUAAAAUCGUGUCACUGUAUUAAGUAACAGGUGUCACAGGCCAUAUUUCAAUGUGUUAGAAUGUACCGCUAUGGAUAUUGAAUUCCGUUCAAUAUACAGAUAUCUGUUUCAGUGUUACUAUGAAUAAUGAUAUUUAGAAUUAUUAAGAGAAACCACCGUUGAAGUUGCACGCUCUUUAAUCAAAAUGGC